AUUCGGCUGACAAGUCCUAAAUAGGACGAAACACGCGUCCUAGAU
rnacentral:hammerhead_ribozyme from 1 species